rfam:Myotis davidii contig192997, whole genome shotgun sequence.
AGAGGCCCUCUGUGGCUGGGGUGGAAUGCUUGCAUCGUUGCUGCAGUGAUAAAGCAAGCAUUCUGCCAGGCCGCUCAUACUGCCUGU